UGACAUGACAGGAGGAUUGUGAGGACAACCACACUGGUAGCCAUAGAACACGACUGUUCUUCUGCUCCUUGUGGCCACAGGAAAAGCACACGUCUGAAC